AGAGUUUGAUCAUGGCUCAGAUUGAACGCUGGCGGCAGGCCUAACACAUGCAAGUCGAGCGGUAGCACAGGAGAGCUUGCUCUCCGGGUGACGAGCGGCGGACGGGUGAGUAAUGUCUGGGAAACUGCCUGAUGGAGGGGGAUAACUACUGGAAACGGUAGCUAAUACCGCAUAAUGUCGCAAGACCAAAGAGGGGGACCUUCGGGCCUCUUGCCAUCAGAUGUGCCCAGAUGGGAUUAGCUAGUAGGUGGGGUAACGGCUCACCUAGGCGACGAUCCCUAGCUGGUCUGAGAGGAUGACCAGCCACACUGGAACUGAGACACGGUCCAGACUCCUACGGGAGGCAGCAGUGGGGAAUAUUGCACAAUGGGCGCAAGCCUGAUGCAGCCAUGCCGCGUGUAUGAAGAAGGCCUUCGGGUUGUAAAGUACUUUCAGCGGGGAGGAAGGUGUUGAGGUUAAUAACCUCAGCAAUUGACGUUACCCGCAGAAGAAGCACCGGCUAACUCCGUGCCAGCAGCCGCGGUAAUACGGAGGGUGCAAGCGUUAAUCGGAAUUACUGGGCGUAAAGCGCACGCAGGCGGUCUGUCAAGUCGGAUGUGAAAUCCCCGGGCUCAACCUGGGAACUGCAUUCGAAACUGGCAGGCUAGAGUCUUGUAGAGGGGGGUAGAAUUCCAGGUGUAGCGGUGAAAUGCGUAGAGAUCUGGAGGAAUACCGGUGGCGAAGGCGGCCCCCUGGACAAAGACUGACGCUCAGGUGCGAAAGCGUGGGGAGCAAACAGGAUUAGAUACCCUGGUAGUCCACGCCGUAAACGAUGUCGACUUGGAGGUUGUGCCCUUGAGGCGUGGCUUCCGGAGCUAACGCGUUAAGUCGACCGCCUGGGGAGUACGGCCGCAAGGUUAAAACUCAAAUGAAUUGACGGGGGCCCGCACAAGCGGUGGAGCAUGUGGUUUAAUUCGAUGCAACGCGAAGAACCUUACCUACUCUUGACAUCCAGAGAACUUUCCAGAGAUGGAUUGGUGCCUUCGGGAACUCUGAGACAGGUGCUGCAUGGCUGUCGUCAGCUCGUGUUGUGAAAUGUUGGGUUAAGUCCCGCAACGAGCGCAACCCUUAUCCUUUGUUGCCAGCGGUUCGGCCGGGAACUCAAAGGAGACUGCCAGUGAUAAACUGGAGGAAGGUGGGGAUGACGUCAAGUCAUCAUGGCCCUUACGAGUAGGGCUACACACGUGCUACAAUGGCGCAUACAAAGAGAAGCGACCUCGCGAGAGCAAGCGGACCUCAUAAAGUGCGUCGUAGUCCGGAUUGGAGUCUGCAACUCGACUCCAUGAAGUCGGAAUCGCUAGUAAUCGUAGAUCAGAAUGCUACGGUGAAUACGUUCCCGGGCCUUGUACACACCGCCCGUCACACCAUGGGAGUGGGUUGCAAAAGAAGUAGGUAGCUUAACCUUCGGGAGGGCGCUUACCACUUUGUGAUUCAUGACUGGGGUGAAGUCGUAACAAGGUAACCGUAGGGGAACCUGCGGUUGGAUCACCU
rnacentral:rRNA from 1 species